AUGUGUCUGCCUGUUUCGUGUGUAUGUGUGUGCGUGUCUGACUAUGUGCAUGUCUCUGUGUGUGUGUGUGUGUGUGGUGUUUAGGGGAUACCUCCUGUGUUGCUGGAUAUUAUGAUUUUUUUUCAUCCCCAGAAGGGAAUACACAUCUGGACCCUCUUUGCACAUCACAUGGGAAAUGAUGUCUGGCCCAGCGCUGGCCUCUGUGAUUACAGAGUUAAUGCCUUUCCCACAGAGCCUGCACCAUCAGUUUCGUGCUGUGUCCCCACCUCUCAACACUCCGGGCAAGGUUCAAACCAAGUUUCUGAAUGUUUACAAGGAAAGAAAGAUAACGCUGUGACUCUUGUGAAGGUUGACCACAUAAACACUGGCCUUUCCUGAAGACUACCUGAACUAUCUUGAAAUUGUGAUACCCAGAGGGUGUCACAGCCCCAAGACUGGAAAGUGGGAUGUUUGAGGAGCUGAACCGCCCCGGAGAAUCCCUUCUGUUUCACCACAAAAGAAAGCUUGAGGACGUGCGUCUUCUCUGGAACUCCUGCCUCAGGAUCUGAGAUGAACAGUCUGGAAAAAGAUGUCUCAUCACCCAUUGGCUCCCUCAAGGUGAUCUUCACACCUCCCUUGUCUGUGCUUCCUUCUUCCCCAUGCCCUUUGGGUCCUCUGGGUUUCUUUAUGGGUUCCUUCUCAGAAGAAUGCUUCUAUUGUCUGUCAUUUUACUUUAGAGAGCGCACACCCCAUUCUUUGCUAAUAUGAUCCCUUCUUCUAACAUCAUCCUCCUGCCCUCACCUGUCCCAGGCUUCCCUCUCUUUCCCCUCUUCUCCAUCUCUGGAGAAGCCACUGGGAAAUGGCAUCUUGCCUUUGACCUUCUUUGUGCUGAUUCUUUCAAAGAAAGAACCACCUCAUGAUGUCUUGUCUUCUAACCAUUUCUGCUUGUCUUUUGUGGGACCCAUACUUUUCCUACUGGUGCUUUAAUUUUCUAAAUUUUUUAAGUGAAAAAGAAUAAAAGUUGUGUGAUUUCUAAAGCUGACUUAUCCUCCUAAAGGGGAUUCCCUCUGGCCUCUCUUGAUCUCUCUUCUCAGCAACUUCCUUGAUCUCUCUUAUCGUCAACCACUUGCUUUCAAUAAACAUCAUUUUUGGAAGCCCCCAUUGUCUGGUAGGGUUCCAGCUUUCCGACAGUCUCCUAGGGGAUCCACUUGUGUCAUGCCUGUGUUCUUCAGCCACUUGCAGUUAUCUGGGGUCAGUCAGUCCCCAGGAGGAGAGUGGAUUGGGCUGGCACAGCCCCCAACCUUAAGGAAGUUUAUGUUCUUAUGACUUGACUUCCUCUCAAGGACUAAGCUCUUGGACCAAUUGAAUAUCAAGGUUGCCAUGUGAUGCUGAUUCUUUUGGUUGGCAGAGUAAUCAAUUGAAGUUUUUAAAUGCAUUUUCCUCCAUGCUGUUUGCAAUUUUUCAUCUUUUGGUUCUUCAAUAAAUUUGUACUGAGGACCUACUAUGUUCCUGGUGCUGAGCUUAGACCCAGGGGUUGAUCUGGGAGCAAAGUCAUCCCUGCUCUCCUAGAGCCUGUGGUCGAGUGGGGAAGAAGGAUGAGUCAGUCAAAUAAUUAUGUUGAAAUGUGUAAAAUUUCAGCCAUGAAUAUGUUUGAAGGAGAGGCACAUAGGGCUGUGAAAGCAUGUACCAGCAGACCUCAGAGAUAUUGCAGGUUUGGGUCCAGGCCACUCAAGUAAAGUGAAUAUCUCAAUAAAGCAAGUCAUGUCAGUUUUUUGGUUUCCCAAUGCAUAUAAAAGUUAUAUUUGCACUAUACUGUAGCCUAUUAAGAAUCCAAUAACAUUACACCUUUUAAAAAAAGUGUACAUAUGUUAAUUAAAAAAUGUAUUUUUUUGUUGGUGAAAAACACUAAUCAUCAUCUGAGCCUUUCAGCAAGCCACAAUCUUUUUUGUAACAGUAAUAUCAAAGAUUACUGAUCACAGAUCACCAUAGCCAGUAUAAUAAUAAUGAAAAAGUUUGAAAUGUAAGAAUUAUCAAAAUGUGACACAGAGGAAAGAAAUGAGCAAAUGCUGUUGGAAAAAUGGCACCCUUAGACUUCAGCCAUACAGGAUUGCCACAAAUUUGUAAAAAAAAAAAAAAAAGACAAUAAAACAAAGUGUGCCUGUAAUGCAAAGGGAUGGUGUGUUCUGGGUAAGUGGCUCUCCAAGCCUGGUCCCUGGACCAUCAGCCUCAGCAUAACCUAGGAUCUUGUUAGAAAUAUACAUUCUCAGUUCCCACCACAGACCCGCUGGAUUAGAAACUCUAGGAACGGAGUUCAGGUCCUGUUUUCAGACACGUUCAGGACACUGUGAUACACAAGUUAGAGAACUCUUGCUCCAGAUGGUCAAAGUCAGCUUCUCUGAAGCAAUAACUUCUGAAUUACGAAGAAAAACUAGGCAGUAGGGUAGGAUGGGGAAAGUCUUUCAGACAGAAAGAAUGGCAUGUGUAGAAGUCCGAUCGUGAGAUCAGGGAGCUCCUGAAAACAGGAAGAUGUGCCAUAAAGGAAGAAGAGAAUGGAGAAGGUGAGUAUGGACAAGAUGCCUGGGGCCAGGAAAUGCUGGUCAUUUGCAAGGGAUUGGGCAAUAGAGAGCUUCUGGUACACUCGGAACUCAAGGAUGGUGUGAUCUCACUUACUGGGCAAUACAAAGCCUCUGGUAUGCUAGGAACUCAAGGAUGGCAUGAUCUCACUUGCUUUUAUCUAAGGAAUAAUUCUAGCUACAGUGUAGAGAAAGGAUUGAAGAGGAGCAAGAGUAGACCUGCUGGAGAUUGUCUCAGGAAUCAGGGGAAAGCUGAUGGUGGUUUCUGGAAGGAUGAAUGAAGGACACAGAUUCACAAGAUUAUUAGGUAAUGCCCACAGGUCUCGGUCGUCAACUAGACGUGUCCAAGAAUGAGUCUGGUGUUUUGGGUUUACGUGCAAGAUGGAGGAGGAUGCCAAGCUUGGCAGUGGGAAGAGACCAUGAGGCAUUCCUAUUGUGUUCGAUGAGCCUUUGAGCCACCUGUGUGCAGGUAUCAAUUAGAUGGUAGAAGGUGUGGGUCUGGAGCUCCUAGGAGAGGUCAGGGCUGACAGCACAUCUUGGUGAGUCAUUGAAAACUAAGCAACCAUUGAUAAGAUCACCCAGGAGAAGGAAUGUAAUGAAGAGAAGAAAGCCAGAAUACAUACUGGGGAACUUCAGCAUUCUUGUUGACUGGUCAGGAAGAGUCGGGAUGACCCCCAUACACCUGGUUUAGUGUAAAGAGUAGAGAGAAGGAAGAAGACUGGAAGCCAGGAGAAUCGUGUGUCACAGAAGCCAAGGGAGAGUUCCCAGGAGGGAGCGCUCAGUGACGGUGAAGAGCAUACGGCAAGAGGCGGCUGAAGGAUGCUUGUGGAUUAGGUGACUUGGAAGGUCAUUUGUGGUUUUAGCAAGAGCUAUUUCAGUGGAGUGCAAGAGAGCAGAAGCUAGAGUGCAGUGGAAUAAGAAAUUAAAGGUAAGGAAAUGGAUAAAGUGAGGACUAUAGACAGCUUUUUGGAAAUGGUUGUAAAGAGGAGGGUAUCGGUGGAUGGGAGAUGUGGAGUCAAGAAGAUUGUCCUGGUUUGUUUGAUUUUUGAGUUGCAAGUGCUUCUCACAUGUCAAACCCUAAGGACUUCAUUGAAAGGGAACAGUUGAAUAAAAGAGAUGGAGCCAACCGAGGUUAACAAGAACCAAGAUCCUAAACAGAUGGGAGAGCACAGAGGCUCUCGGAUUCUGGAGUCCCCACUCUAGCCUGGAUUUUUCUGAACCUCUGUGACCUUCCCAAGGCCGGAUCCCCUGACCUCGAAUACCCGCCACCCCUCCCUUUCUUGGCAUUCUCCUCCUGCUGACUUGCCUGCCCACAGCCCCUUUCCUGCAGCCCACUCAAUUGUUUUGUCUGCUUUGUUCACCCACUGUUAAGUUAUUAACUUGUCAGGGUCUAGACUCCCCACUUCCUUUCCCACUUUGAACCCACUCUUGGCUCCCUUCCCAUUCACUGCCUCGGAAAGUCAGCACUAGGCAGGCCUGGAUUGCUUGGCGGGUCAUUACUGGCGUGCACACAGAAGUACAGUUAAUAUAAUUGGUAUAAGAUGGUAAAGCCUUUUUAAAGACCUUGAUGCAACUGAAAAAAAAACAUAAAAUACAACCAUCUCUCCAUUAUCUUAGCAGUGGAGGCAAAUGGUGAACUUAAAGUAGACUUUAUUCAAAGUAAUUUCUCCAAGAGGACUCGAUUUUAAAGGGUCACCUGUAAACAUAUUAAAGACCAUCAGAUUUUACAUGUUAAUUCAUGGAUUCAAUAAGGGUCAAAAAUGACAUUUCCUUAGUUUUUAAAGCAGACACAGAUAGGUAAGUUUUAAUAUAAGUGUUGCUACUCUGAGGUAAGCAAACUUUGUCUAAGAUUCUUGAGAGAAAUUUGCAGCAGUUCCUUAGAAUUGAGUGGUUUUAUCAUUACCCAGCACUUUCGAAAUCAUGGAAUAACUUAAAUGGGAUCUGAUGGACAAAGACACAGACUGUUUCCUAGUCAUCGGCCUACAUACUGCUGAAAAUGAUUUGUUGUCUAAGAAUAAAUAUCACAGAGAAACAA